rnacentral:rRNA from 1 species
UACGAAGGGGGCUAGCGUUGCUCGGAAUGACUGGGCGUAAAGGGCGCGUAGGCGGUUUGUACAGUCAGGUGUGAAAUUCCCGGGCUCAACCUGGGGGCUGCACUUGAUACGUAGGAACUGGAGUGGGGAAGAGGGUCGUGGAAUUCCCAGUGUAGAGGUGAAAUUCGUAGAUAUUGGGAAGAACACCGGUGGCGAAGGCGGCGACCUGGUCCUUGACUGACGCUGAGGCGCGAAAGCGUGGGGAGCGAACAGG